GGGUACAAAUAAAGUUUUAUUAUUUAUUAUUAUGAACUAUUUUCAAUAUUUUACUCUCUGCUAUGUGUGAAAUCUGGGAACUGAAGGAAUAUUUCAUUUAGUGGGAAAGAGUUCUUAUUUGGGAGGACAACAUCCUUAUAUCCUGCCCCCCUCCAGCCCUGGCCCCCGAAUGCUCUAAAUUAACUUUUUAGUUCUUGGCACAGAUGAAUCACCCACUAAGUUACAAAGGCCUUAUCUGUACUGGCCAGGAUACUCCAGGGGUAGCCUGGAGUAUCGUGACCCCACAGCUGCCCUGUCUCCCCCUCAUUACUUUGGCUUUCAUCCCUGUAAUGUUGUGUCAUCUCCAGGAGUGUCCAGCUAGGAACCCAGCACAUCUGCCACCACCACAGUAAUUCAUGUCUGAGGUCAGAACAAGGUGCCUAGCAAAUGUCACAUUAUGGGUGACCUGCAGCAGUGGUGGACAAGCUGGAUGGUCCAGUGGAAUGCCUGCACAGACAGCUGCCACAAUGUGGAAAUGGAGGACUCUGGAUCUUCUCAGAAAACCCAGAGCAAUAGCUCCUAUCAGUCCAAGGUGGCACACUUGUUGGGAGGAAAAAACCCACCACAAUAACUGAAGACUACAGUUGGUCUCCCGGGUCUUAAGAUGCUUUCAAGUAAGUACUAGCAACUGUGGCAAGUAAGUACUAGCAACUGUAGCCCAGUGAUUCCUAAAUUCUGGCCUUCCAGGUUUUUUGGUUUUUGGCUCACAGAAUACCAGGACAAGAUGUUUGAGGCUUCUGGGAACUGAAAUCCAAAACACCUGGAAGACCAGAGUGUCAGAAUCACUGGAUAGCCUUAGAGGUCCCCUUGGUGGAAGAAACACUAUUGUGAAGACCUUUGGUUUCUUUCUUCAGCAUGAUUGACUACUGCUGAAGUUGGAAGACAUCAUUCUUGUAUAUUGUUAUUUACUUAGUUGGAAGAGGCCAUUCAGUCCACCCCCUGUCAUUAUAUUCAUAUUAAAUGUUCUUGCAAUGAGAAGGCAUGGACACAAUGGCUAUAGCUGGGGGAGGGUGGGGUUAAGGUAUUGUUACUCCAAAUAAGAAUUCUGCCCCAAUGAAGUUUUUAUUUAGUCCCCAACUGUUGCUGAGAAUGAGACAUUAAAAAUUGUACACAUUUAGAACUCUUCUAUCUGAUAUGUUCUGAUCUCCAUAGUGGCUUUGCCUGCUGCUCAUCUCUAGAUGCCUAAAAAGUAUUUCUAAAUGCUCAACUGAUGUUUUAAGUUACUGCAAAGCUAGAAAUUUGGAAUGAAGGAAAAUUUCAUUUUGGUGGUAAGAAUUCUUAUUUGGGGAGCAAGUGCUCAUUUUGCUCUUCCUGAUGGCUAUACCCUUGGAUGAUGUCAAAAUGAUUUUGUCUCCUGUCUGGAGGAGAUAUCUUUGCUGAGUCCUUGGAAGCAAGCAACUUCAUAACUAUCAUAUUGCUUGCUUGCAAUAUCGAGCUCUUUACCUGCUUUCAAAACACAAUGGACAUGCACAGUUGAUUUUUGUUGCUGCCUGCUCCUAUAGACAGCUUAGUGAUCUCUAACCUAUUCAUGCAAUCUACCUAUGAUUUUAAUAUUAUCUUACUAGGACAAGACCUUUACAAACGCCAGCCUCCCUGUAGUCCAAGCUUCUGGGAAAAGACAGAGUAUAAUAAAACCAACAGAAUACAA